rnacentral:rRNA from 7 species
GAUGUUCUAACGUGGACCCGUAAUCCGGGUUGCGGACAGUGUCUGGUGGGUAGUUUGACUGGGGCGGUCUCCUCCUAAAGAGUAACGGAGGAGCACGAAGGUUGGCUAAUCCUGGUCGGACAUCAGGAGGUUAGUGCAAUGGCAUAAGCCAGCUUGACUGCGAGCGUGACGGCGCGAGCAGGUGCGAAAGCAGGUCAUAGUGAUCCGGUGGUUCUGAAUGGAAGGGCCAUCGCUCAACGGAUAAAAGGUACUCCGGGGAUAACAGGCUGAUACCGCCCAAGAGUUCAUAUCGACGGCGGUGUUUGGCACCUCGAUGUCGGCUCAUCACAUCCUGGGGCUGAAGUAGGUCCCAAGGGUAUGGCUGUUCGCCAUUUAAAGUGGUACGCGAGCUGGGUUUAGAACGUCGUGAGACAGUUCGGUCCCUAUCUGCCGUGGGCGCUGGAGAACUGAGGGGGGCUGCUCCUAGUACGAGAGGACCGGAGUGGACGCAUCACUGGUGUUCGGGUUGUCAUGCCAAUGGCACUGCCCGGUAGCUAAAUGCGGAAGAGAUAAGUGCUGAAAGCAUCUAAGCACGAAACUUGCCCCGA